rnacentral:rRNA from 1 species
UACGUAGGGGGCGAGCGUUGUCCGGAUUCAUUGGGCGUAAAGCGCGUGCAGGCGGCCUGGUAAGUCGGCCGUGAAAGCGCCGGGCUCAACUCGGCGAGGUCGGGCGAGACUGCGAGGCUAGAGGCUGGUAGAGGGCGGUGGAAUUCCGGGUGUAGUGGUGGAAUGCGUAGAGCUCCGGAGGAACACCAGUGGCGAAGGCGGCCGCCUGGGCCAGUCCUGACGCUGAGCCGCGAAAGCGUGGGGAGCGAUCCGG